UAGAGACGGGGUUUCACCGUGUUAGCCAGGAUCGUCUGGAUCUCCUGACCUCGUGAUCCACCCGCCUUGGCCUCCCAAAGUGCUAGGAUUACAGGCGUGGGACACCGUGCCCAGCCCAGGUAACAAGAGGAUUCAGAAUCUGAGAGAUACUGCUUAAAAGGAAAAUGUCCUGGAGGGAUGCCAAACUGCACUCUCAAAGGUUUCGGCUGGAUGUGUGAUAUUGAUGGGGAAACCCAUUUCAGUGUCUCUAAGAAGGGGGUAGUGCUCCUCUUUCCAGGAUGUCUCUGGGGAAUCUAGAGCACCCCAAAGUGUGGUAUGCAUAGAAACAUUGCUGCUUAAGGUCUGAAUAUUUGUUCCUCAUCAAUUCAUGUGUUGAAAUUCUAACCUCUCCUGAAUGGGAUUAGUGCUCUUACACGAGAGGCCUGACAGAGACUCCUCACCCUUCCCACCAUGCGAAGACACAGUGAGAAGGCUCAGUCUAUGAACCAAAAUGUUGACUGUCACCAUUUACUCAAUCUGCUGUCGCCUUGAGCUUGGACUUCCCAGCCUCCAGAACUGUGAGAAAUAAAUUUCUGUUGCUUAUAAGACAACCAGUUUAUGACAUUUCGUUAUAGCAGCCUGAAUGGACUAAGACACCCUUCCCACCAUGUGAAGACAGAGUGAGAAGGUUCGGUCUAUGAACCAAAAACUGACCCUCACCAGUCAUUGAAUCUGCUGGUGCCUUGAUCUUGGACUUCCCAGCCUCCAGAACUGUGAGAAAUAAAUUUCUGUCGUUUAUAAGCCACCUAGUUUAUGAUACUUUGUUAUAGCAGCCUGAAUGGACUGAGACACCCACCUUAAAAAGACAGUACCUCAAAACCAUAAGGCAGGAUAACUGCUAGCCUGAUAUUAAUAGUUUUUAAUUUACUGCUAGCUUCAUUUUGCCAACUGAGUCAGAUAUUUUUUAAAAGUUCUGUUUGCAAUUAUUUUAACUUAGGAGAGGAGAAAAAGAGCAGGCAUCAGCCUGCAUAUGGGAUAUUUCUGAAAGGAUUUUGCUAUGAUUAGCUUGCCCUCAGGGAGAGUAAAAUGUGAGUUAUACAACCAUGCUUAUAUUUAGAUGUUGUUGAUGUUCUGGCUUAUAAUAUAUGAUGAGUUAGAAAUAAUUUUGUACUGAUCAGCCCAACCAGAAAAUAAACAUGCUUUAACUUGUAUUUAUUACUAAACUUGGUCUCCUAAAACAUGAUAAAGCAGUUGAGUCUAUAAUGACUGAGCCAUAGCUUCUCUGACUGACUCUAAGAGGGAAUGACGUUAAUAAGAGAUUAGCCCAUACCUCUAAUAGCCCUGGGAGAGAUGAACCCAAGACGGCAAGGCCCAGCUCUGAUGGAUGAAGGGACAGAGAACUAUAAGAAGACUGGGUUCCAUCUAGGAUGGGUGGCCUGUUGAGUGCCCAUCUUAUCUGCUUAGAUGAUGAUACUUGGAGACCUGACUCAAUUGUUGUGAAUGGUCUUUGUAAAAUUUUAUUUUAGAGACAGGGUCUUGCUAUGUUGCCCAGGCUGGUCUCAAACACCUGGGCUCAAGUGAUCCUCCUGCCUCAGCCUCCUGAGUAGCUGGAACUGCAAGUGAUUACUCUUAUUGAACAAACAAACAAAAACAAGUGCCUGUGACCUAAUAGAGAUGCAUGCAUAUGUUCACCAAAAGAUCUAGAAUGUCCACAACAGCCCUAUUUAUCAUCACCCCAAAUGGGGCACCCUGCACCUACCUCAACAGUAGAUGCAUACAUUUCUGUGUAUUUACACUGUGGAAUAUGACACAGCAAUGACAAUGAAUGAACUACAGCUAUACACAACAACAUGGAUGGCUAUCACAAACAUAAGGUAGAGCUAAAAGCGAAAAAAACCAGCAUAAAAGUGGGCAAAAGCCAUCUAUGUUGUUAAAAAUCAGGAUAGUGGCUGCCCUGGAAGGGGGCAUGAGGAGGCUUCAAGGUGCUUGUCAUGUUCUCUUUCUUCACU
rnacentral:lncRNA from 10 species